UGGGUAUAUAGUGUUUACACUUCUAGGUAGCCUGAACUGGAACUUGGAUCGGCAGAUUAUAAAUCUCUGUCCAAAGUAUUCCGCUGAUAUUGUAUGACUCAAAGUUGAUUUGUAGGACGUGAAUUUAUCUAUUUAGAAUGCAUGAACAUUUAAUUAACAACGAUCUUACCUUGUAAAGAUAAAUGGAUAGAAACAAAAUUCUAUGAUUUCAAGAAUGGAUUAAAAACAACACGAGAAUGAAAUUUUAUUAGAAUUCUCUCAGCAUAUAUCCUUUUAGCAUGCCUAGCGGCAAUUCCUGCAUAUGCAUGGAUUGGAGGAUACAAAUUGCUGGGUGAUUGACUGCUGUAAUGUCAGAUGUCAGAUGAGCAAGAAACAUUUGUUGCCAUGAAAUAAGAUAUUGUAGAAGAGUUGAAAAGUUAAUGUUGACCUUUAGAAGGACGAAAUGAAAGGACAUUAGUGCAGCAAUGUUUGUAAUCAAGGGAGGAAAAGGAUUGUUUCCUAGAAUUGUUACUGGAAAGUUUUUUACAUUUUGAAAUCCUGCUACUUGAUAUUUGUUUGGCUUUCUGUAAAGAGAACCUUCCUAAGCUGACUAGUCACACACUGGUUCUUGAACUUUGCCUGGUUGGUUGCACAUUGUCCACUAUUAUAAGACAUGGUGACAAAUAGGAAUCUCUAGUCUGAAUUUGCUACGUGAAUGGAUAUAAAUUAACCUGGUCUUCUUUAUUUCAGUUAAGAAAGUCCCUUAUAGGAUCUCUGGUGUAAUUUAAUACGUGAUUGUGCUGCAAUAAGACUAACUAACCAUAAUUGGGAUUAAUCUUUUACCUGCUUAGCAACUACAAAGACAUAUUAGGCCUAUAAAAUCAAUUGGCAGUUCUAAUCCAACCAUUUUACUAUUCUCCUUGUUUGUAAGAAGUUGAGUGUUUUCUAUACUUAAGCAAUUUGAACACUCAAUAAGGAUUAUGAUGCCCUGCACUUUUGCCAACAUGAUUUGUGGAGUAGUAAAAACCAUAAUUUGUUAACUAUAUCAUUUACAGCAGCAUGCUGAAUUCUUUUUAACUUGUCAAUUCAACAACCCAAUGAACAAAAAAUAUACAUAUACCGAUUUUGAUAGUAGACCAGCUUGAUUAUGCUUCAAGAAAUUCUAAAGAAGCCAUAUAGAGGGACACCCAUAGUCAAGGAUAUGCAACCAUUCUGAAUAGCGACAAUUGCAAACCUCUCUUCUUGUUGUAGUUUAGAAAAUGCUGAUCUAUCUGACUAUAAGCUAUUUCUGACUCUGUAUUGCACUGAAUGAUAGCUUUUGAAGCUUAUGGCAGUCAUAAGCCGCCACGGCCUGAUUAAGAAUUUAUUUCCUUGCAAUUGUGCAUUAUGCACCAAUCCAUAUACCAUUUGCAAUGACAAACUAGAGUCUACUGUCAAAUACUAGAAUGGCCGGAGUCCUUUUGGUUCAGGUAUAUGUUGUUUAAGUAAAUGAGGUUGCAUUUAUAUCAUGACUUUCUUUCUGUUCAGUUAGAACUGCAUAAAUGCAAAAGAAAAUGUUCAUUCUCCAGGCGUAUAUCUACUUAAUCUCACAAAUAACAUUUCUCAUCUGAUCAUUUUUUACAUUCUGAUUUGAACUUGUAAUGCUUCUCUAAAGUUUCCCUAAGUACUGAUUAUGUGUAGUUUGUUCUCAUUAUUUUAUGAACUUAUGUGCUUGUAUAUCUGAUUAAUCAGAUACCCUGAUGUGCAACUGCUAUAUAUUUUUAUAUUUGUUUUUCUUCUGCCCGUAUAACCUGUAUUCAGUCACCUCUGUUAUACUCAGUGGCUAUGCUAUUAACAGAUCUGUUUUAUGUUGCUUUAACCUUUGAAUGUGCAUCUAUUAACCUGCAUUUGUUAUUUAUAAUUCCUACAUUUGCUUUCUUUCUUAAAUUGCAUGCAUGACUUUCAUUAUCCUAUAUUGGUAUUCUUUAAGUGUGUUCACGGAUGAAGCAUAGUUUGUUAUCUAAGAAAUUGGAUAAUGUAACUUUCUUUCGAUUUAUUAAUAAAUGUUUUUGAUAUGCAUACUUUCACUGUGAAUGCUACAGAAGCUUAGAGAUAAGAAUAGUAUUGUGUAAUGCAUGUAUACAUAGAAUAGAUAUGUGAAAUGAAUUGACUUAUUACUAGAUUGCUUCUUGCUUUAAUUUUGGUAAUAAGAAGUUUGGAUCUUCCAUGAUGUAAUUAUGUAAAGGUGUAAUUAAUUGAAUCAUUUGUAAUACAGAGUUAUAAUUAUCAUUUAUAACCUAUAGUUUAUCCAAGAUGCAUUAUUGCAUUCAGUAGUCCCCAGAUUUUUUUUAAAAAAUUCUUAAUCCCUUUGAUAAUUCAUGUUUGAAUUAUAGGAUGCAAAGAUCUUAGUGUAGCCAUGUAUUUCUGUAGUUUCUAUGUGCAUUAUAUUUUUGUGAAUUAUUUCUUGUCAAACAAAAAGUUAACUAGUAUAGUAUAAAGGUGUAAUAGUAAUGUGGAUGGAGAACUGGCAUUGUAUACUUGAAGACCAGGGAAGCAAAUUGUGUUCACCUUUUAUCACAUGGUACAAUUAAUUUCCUUCCUAGAUUGGCUUGAAGAAGAAACUUACUUUUUGCCUCUCCUUU
rnacentral:lncRNA from 1 species